CUUGCCAUACCGGAUAGAACUGCCUAUAUUUUUCAGUGCCGGAGGCUUCGGCCUUGGCUAUGGCGAUAAACGGUAGAUGAAAUAAGUGUUGUGGACCCGGGGGCAGUGCCCGGCGUCUCCACCAUCGGCCUUAUAGGCUGACGCUAUGGGGACGAAACAGGCUCGACACGCAUGGUAAAGAUCUACUUUUUGCCCGGUAUUGUUCCGCCGUCAUCGGGCUGACUUUACAAGUGCCAACGAUAACUCUGAGGUGCUCGCUGUUGCUGCAUAAGCGAUAAGCGCGGUUCGGGGGGAGCACCGGGCAACAGAAGCCCCC
rnacentral:tmRNA from 1 species